GAUAAAAAAAGAAGGGUCAGAAUUUUUUAGUCACACACGUGACACCCCACCAACCCACUCAUUCUCAACCACACAGCCUCACAAUUACAAAUAUCUCUCUCCCUCUUGAUCGGCUCUCCCUCUUCUUUCACACUCAAACACAAACACAAACACAAACACACACAUCCCUCUACCUCUCUCUCCUCCCUCUUGGUCUCUCGGUUAGCUUCUAAAUUUGCGGUCAUCAAACUCUUCUCCAUGGUUUGACUUCUCCCAACAUGAAUGUAAGGUACUUUGUGAUGGAACUAUUGGUUGAAUGCGGUGCUUGGUUGAGGUAAAUUUGGAUUGGACUGCUGAGGUAAGUAGAUUUUUAAUGAGAUUUUUGGAAAAUAAUCAUGUUGCAUAAACGUUGUUUUUGAGUCAAACACAUUUUGGAAAAUUAUUUGUGAAACUAUGUUUUCUUAAAAAGUGUUAUGCUGUGACCCUACUAUAUAUGAUUAUAUAUGAAAGUGUAUCGUAUUUCUUAUUACAUAUGGGAAAAUGCAUGAUUUGUUAGCAUAAAAAAAAAUUAGCAACUUUGAUUAAAUUCUUAAGAGUAGAUUUUAUGGAUUUAGUGUAUUGUUUGAAAAAUUUAAAGAUGCUUUAUCUUGACUUGCUAUGUUUGGGGAAAUUGAUACAAAAUCUUUUUGACAAGAAAUGAGUUUGAAGGCUUUGAGAACCUUGUGAAUAUUUUGGAUAUUUCAAAGAUUUUGAUUUCAUGUAAACUGUGAACUCUUCAUGUUUUUACCCUUGGGCUGUGACAUGUGAUUACUGGGUGAAUACCCAACUAGAUACUAUAGUCUGUGACAUUGUUAUCUUAGCACCCGUCUUUGUGAUGAUUAUGAGUUUCGGCUUUGCGUCAGCAAAUUAGUUUCAUCUUUGUGUCAGCAAAUAAGUUUCAGCUUUGUGUUAGCGAUGAGUUCUGGCAUUGUGUCGGCAAAUUAGUUUCCACUCUGUGUCGGCAAUGAGUUCCAGCUUUAUAUCGGCGACUGUCAUUUGGCCCUGGGUUGGAUUUUCUAGUUUGGAACAUUGUUGUUAUUGCUCAGUGUAUAGUAUGUAGUUUCAUAUUGAGAUAUUUUGAGAAAUAUAUACUUAUGUAGUUUCACGUUGAGAUAUUUCAAAGAAGAUUUGUGCUAUGUUGUUUCAAGCAUUCUUGUCAUGUCAUUACUGGUAUCGAAUUUUCAGAAAUCAAAUGGAAAUUCCCAGAGCAUAACAUGUUUUGUAAAAUGCUCAUUAUCAUGAGACUUGCAUUUCCCCUACCCCCAUUAAUUAUUCUAUUGAUUGGACUUUAGUUCAUUCCACUUUCCAACAGUUUUACAGAUAAAUUUACUAUACCUCGGGAAUUGAGCUUGUCUUAUUGGUGGAGAUUGGAGUUUUAUGCUGAAUUGGGAGACUGACAUUGUUAUUGUUUGGUGGUUCGAUCCAGUUGUUUUUAAGGAAGUAGUAGUUAAUUCUAUUAGAGGUCGGGCUCUCUUGAGGUUUGUUAGCUCAAGAAUUUAGUUGGGGUUGUAUAUUUUUGAAAACAUUAGAGUUUUAUGUCAAAUAGUUUGGUGUUUGGAAUAUUCAUGUAAAUUUUGGAGGCAUAUGAUUUGUAGUUCGUAUUGUUUGUAUAUGUGUUAUAAAGCUCUGACUUAUAUUGUGGAGA